GUGGAUUACACUUGAAACAGUGACUGAAGAUUGAUGAGCAGCAUCUACUGCAGAAGACCUCAAUAAUGCAUAAGAACAUCUGGAGGUGCGGUAAUUUCGGCUAUCAGAGAUAAGAAUUGACACAAAACAGAGCACACUCAGCUUGGCCAUUAGGUUGUCAUUUACCAGCACCUUGGUGCUGCAGCCAUCAUCUCACAGCACUGGGGGAAGAAAAGAAGCAAAACUCCGUAAAGAACUUCCAGCUCAGGAACGUUGUGGAGUGUUUUAGAUAUCCAGAGAGAAGCUGUUUGUCAUCUCUGCCCAGGAAUCCACCUUCCAGCCUGGCCCUCAGCAUGAAAGAAUUUCCAAAGAGAGGAGGAGUUUAGUGUGAAUUUUGCUGUGCAGGAGGAAUGCAGGAACAAAACUCGGUAAAUGUUAAAAUCUCCCUUA
rnacentral:lncRNA from 1 species